rnacentral:rRNA from 1 species
UGGGGAAUAUUGCACAAUGGGCGAAAGCCUGAUGCAGCAACGCCGCGUGAGUGAUGAAGGUCUUCGGAUUGUAAAGCUCUGUCUUUUGGGACGAUAAUGACGGUACCAAAGGAGGAAGCCACGGCUAACUACGUGCCAGCAGCCGCGGUAAUACGUAGGUGGCGAGCGUUGUCCGGAUUUACUGGGCGUAAAGGGUGCGUAGGCGGAUGUUUAAGUGAGAUGUGAAAUACCCGGGCUUAACUUGGGUGCUGCAUUUCAAACUGGAUAUCUAGAGUGCAGGAGAGGAGAAUGGAAUUCCUAGUGUAGCGGUGAAAUGCGUAGAGAUUAGGAAGAACACCAGUGGCGAAGGCGAUUCUCUGGACUGUAACUGACGCUGAGGCACGAAAGCGUGGGUAGCAAACAGGAUUAGAUACCCUGGUAGUCCACGCCGUAAACGAUGAGUACUAGGUGUAGGAGGUAUCGACCCCUUCUGUGCCGCAGUAAAACACAUUAAGUACUCCGCCUGGGAAGUACGAUCGCAAGACUAAAAAC